GCAUAUCAAUAAGCGGAGGAAAAGAAACCAACCGGGAUUGCCUCAGUAACGGCGAAGUGAAGCGGCAAGAGCUCAAAUUUGAAAUCUGGCCCCCCUCGGGGUCCGAGUUGUAAUUUGCAGAGGAUGCUUCGGGUGCGGUCCCCAUCUAAGUGCCCUGGAACGGGCCGUCAUAGAGGGUGAGAAUCCCGUCUGGGAUGGGCGGCCGCGCCCGUGUGAAGCUCCUUCGACGAGUCGAGUUGUUUGGGAAUGCAGCUCUAAGCGGGUGGUAAAUUUCAUCUAAAGCUAAAUACUGGCCGGAGACCGAUAGCGCACAAGUAGAGUGAUCGAAAGAUGAAAAGCACUUUGAAAAGAGAGUUAAACAGCACGUGAAAUUGUUGAAAGGGAAGCGUUGUCCACCAGACUCGCCCGGGGGGGUUCAGCCGGCACGUGUGCCGGUGUACUCCUCUCCGGGCGGGCCAGCAUCGGUUUGGGCGGCUGGUGAAAGGCCCCGGGAAUGUACCACCCUCCGGGGUGUCUUAUAGCCCGGGGUGCCAUACAGCCAGCCUGGACCGAGGCCCGCGCUUCGGCGAGGAUGCUGGCGUAAUGGUGGUCAACGGCCCGUCUUGAAACACGGACCAAGGAGUCUAACAUCUAUGCGAGUGUUCGGGUGUCAAACCCGUCCGCGCAGUGAAAGCGAACGGAGGUGGGAGCCCCUCGGGGCGCACCAUCGACCGAUCCUGAUGUCUUCGGAUGGAUUUGAGUAAGAGCAUAGCUGUUGGGACCCGAAAGAUGGUGAACUAUGCCUGAAUAGGGCGAAGCCAGAGGAAACUCUGGUGGAGGCUCGCAGCGGUUUCUGACGUGCAAAUCGAUUCGUCAAAUUUGGGUAUAGGGGGCGAAAGACUAAUCGAACCAUCUGGUAGCUGGGUUCUGCG
rnacentral:rRNA from 1 species